ensembl:lncRNA
UAAAAGGACUGAAAAGCUGCCACUCUCCUCAAGCUCUGCCAGCUCCAGGAGAAACGCACUGCACACUGUGGUUAUCCCUGGGAGACUGAGAAACCGCCUCUGAAAGGAGAUCAGAGGUGAGGCAGCUGAGGGAGCGUGGGGAAGUAAAGCAAUCUGAAAAAUGUCCAAACUUUGUACUUGAGCAGGUGCAGCAGCUCAACAGCAGGGAAGACUACAGAAGAGUAAUGUGUCUGUUUUGUUUGCAAGUUAAUACAAACGUUCAAAGUUCAAUUAGCCUAAGGGAGAAGAGAAAUUUUGGAAAUGGUGUUGGACAUCAGCCCUCACAAGGCUGCAAAUGACCACUGAAAACUUUGAUAAAUUUUCCCACUGUUUUUUGCUUGCUUGUUUGUUCAUUCGCUUUUGACACAGGAGCUCGACAUAAUCUGAAUCCAAGAAAAGGAAUUCUCAAGAAUGUUUUUCUAACAGUAAGAUCCCAUGACCCUCAAACUGCACUGGCAGUAGACCAUUGUCCUUCUAUGGCACACUGAUAUACUGAUUAUCUACAGAGUUAGUCUUUGGUCUUCUGUACUUCUGUCUGUUCUCUUCUUCUGGGGUAUACAACUAACCAAGCAGCAUCUUCCUACCUGUGCAUGGUAUCAGCAUUGCUUCUAUUGCAACAGAUCAGAUGUGUCAAUGGAGGACAGCAGCUGGCCACUGUGCAACUCAGAGGUACCUGGAUCUGUGAUAUUUGCAGACCGAGGAAUAGCAUUAGAAAGACACUAAGCGGGAACAAAAUAACAAACACAAGUUGGAAAUGUACAGAUCGUCCUGCAAAAGAUCGUCUGCAUCUCCAUGUUAGUGCUGGGAUUGGAACAAAAGGUUCAGACAGCAGCUGGGGUGAAUCCAUACACCUGGAAUACUUACUACAGAAACUGAAAUACAAACUUUGAAAUUUUGUUAGCUGUCAUUGAUUGUAUCACCCAUCAGUCAGUGCCAGAAAUAUCAUAUGAACCUGUGUGUAUUUUCUGCUUGCAUUUGAAAAUAAUGUAUUUAUCCUAUUCCAUUAGUGUAUUUUAACAAGCAUUGCUUUGGGACAGUAUGCCUGCCAAUUUAUGUUUAUGAGACUGUCAAAAGAAUUUACAUGCCUAAGAAAAUAUGAUAUAACAUUGCCAAAGCAGGAACUGCCUGUCAAAUGAGGUUGUCAUGGAGAAAUGAGACAUAGGAAAGCUCAUACAUAAAGUGGCACACAGAGAAUGCCAGGGAUUUUUUCUUCCCCCUGUUGAGCUCAAUAAAUAUUUAUUUCAGUAAAGGAAGAGGUUAGGAUAUAAUGAAAUUAUAAGCAAUAUUGUGCAGUCACUUUUAUUUGAGGAAAUUUUCCAUUGAAACCAGGCCAAUAUGAAACCACAACAAUGUUCUUGCAUUCUAUAUUGUGUUUUUAGAACCAGAUUUUAACAGUUUAAAUUUUGCCUGGCAGUACCCUGACUCGCAUGUAGUAGAGCAAGUCAGGGACAAAAAGGCAUAUCAGGAAUAUAUAUUGGGGGUUGCUCAUCACAGUCCACUGGAGUGGUUCUCAGGAGUCUUUGGAAGCUGAUGUUAUUUAGGUAUCUCCAGACAUUGCCCAGAAUUCGCCUUUGAACUAAGGUGCAUCUAGAAUUAAGAGGUAUUUGAUAACUUUUCUGAGCUCAGCCUCAUUACAGUACUGAGCAAUUCAGGCUUUCAGAGAAAAAUACAGCAGCAAAUUCUUAUCCAAACUGUCAAAGCAGUCAAUAUAGACCCUGCAAGGUACAUGUAGUGACACGAGCUUGACACGUGUCAAGGAGAGAGGAGGUAGCCAAGUACUCUGCAGACAUUUCGCUAUCAUAAUCUUAAUUACUCCAGGGAGAAGAUUAGAUGCUGCUUGUUGUUUACAGUUGAUUCAUAAAAUGGUGAUUAUAUAAUGAGGGAAAACAUUGAGGGGAAUAUCUUUUCAAUUUUCCAACUCCCUAGGUAGAACUAAUUUUGCCUAACUUUAACUUGUUAAAAGUUUAUAGUCAAAACCUAAGCUAGUUAUCUGAGCUUCCUUAAUGGAGAAAUAAACAUAGGCUCCCUGAGACCAUGACUUAUCAUCUUAUAAAUUAGGUGAAAUGACUCAUCCUCCAAAAGCUCUUCUUUCUUCUGGUUGCACUGAAAAUGCCCUAGAGAGAGGACUGAUGUUUAGAGGACUGAAUUUCUGAGGAAUAAAGGCAAGGAUUCAUGCCUAAUGCAGAUAUGGGUUUGCAAUAUAAGGUAAAAUAAUUCUGUUGCUGUUGUUUGUGUCCUUAACUCUGUUCAGCUACAAAGAGAUCAAAGACCAGUCUGUAGCUUCUUCCUCUAGUAUCGAGAGCAGCUUCAAUUUCUGAUUACCUCUAAUGGGAAUCUUGAACAACCAGAAAAAAACAACAACAACAAAAAAAAAACAGCUGAAUCAACACAGGGAAAGGAAUAAUAAUGUGCCACUGAACUGGACUGCCAUUGAAUAAUUAGCAUUCAUUCUUUGUAUACUUCCUAAGCUACACCUAUAUCCAGGCACUCUCUACAUGCCUAAUGGAAUUUUUGUAUCCAGCCCUACAACCAAAUAUCAACCAAUCAACCUCAUAAUUGAAUAAAAGUGCAUUUUCCUGCACCUAACCUCCUGCACGGUUGCACUAAGUUCAAUCAGCAUGUGCAAAGUAGUAAAACCUGUGUAACAUUUGUAAGCUGGCUAGAUUAAUAUUUACUUCAUCUUGGGGUUGAAUUCACUCCUAUGCAUUUUUCAACAUAGUUAGCUGUACUAAGUAACUGAGCAACUACUUCCUCCGAACUGUAAGAAAUAUAUGUAACAGUUUAUCCUGUAACUUUUUUUUGCAAGACGUAAUGGUAUGCUAGCAUAUUAUAAAUACUCUAGAAUAAUUUAUUUAUUAUAUUCCAUUAGUGUAUUUUAACAAGCAUUGCUGUGGGACAGUAUGCCUGCCAAUUUAUGUUUAUGAGGCUGUCAAGAUAAUUUACAUGCCUAUGAAAAUAAACAACAUUGCCAAUGCAGGGUCUGCUUGUCAAAUAAUCUUGUCAGGAAGAAAUGAAACACUGCCGAG